UACGAAGGGGGCUAGCGUUGCUCGGAAUUACUGGGCGUAAAGCGUGCGUAGGUGGUUGUUUAAGUCUGUUGUGAAAGCCCUGGGCUCAACCUGGGAAUUGCAGUGGAUACUGGGCGACUAGAGUGUGGUAGAGGGUAGUGGAAUUCCCGGUGUAGCAGUGAAAUGCGUAGAGAUCGGGAGGAACAUCCAUGGCGAAGGCAGCUACCUGGACCAACACUGACACUGAGGCACGAAAGCGUGGGGAGCAAACAGG
rnacentral:rRNA from 1 species